GAUGAACGCUGGCGGCGUGCCUAAUACAUGCAAGUCGAGCGAACGGACGAGAAGCUUGCUUCUCUGAUGUUAGCGGCGGACGGGUGAGUAACACGUGGAUAACCUACCUAUAAGACUGGGAUAACUUCGGGAAACCGGAGCUAAUACCGGAUAAUAUUUUGAACCGCAUGGUUCAAAAGUGAAAGACGGUCUUGCUGUCACUUAUAGAUGGAUCCGCGCUGCAUUAGCUAGUUGGUAAGGUAACGGCUUACCAAGGCAACGAUGCAUAGCCGACCUGAGAGGGUGAUCGGCCACACUAGAACUGAGACACGGUCCAGACUCCUACGGGAGGCAGCAGUAGGGAAUCUUCCGCAAUGGGCGAAAGCCUGACGGAGCAACGCCGCGUGAGUGAUGAAGGUCUUCGGAUCGUAAAACUCUGUUAUUAGGGAAGAACAUAUGUGUAAGUAACUGUGCACAUCUUGACGGUACCUAAUCAGAGAGCCACGGCUAGCUACGUG
rnacentral:rRNA from 1 species